AGUACGGCCGCAAGGUUGAAACUCAAAGGAAUUGACGGGACCCCGCACAAGCAGCGGAGCAUGUUGUUUAAUUCGAAGCAACGCGAAGAACCUUACCAGGGCUUGACAUCCUACAAAUCUGCCAGAGAUGGCGGAGUGCCCUUCGGGGAAUGUAGAGACAGGUGGUGCAUGGUUGUCGUCAGCUCGUGUCGUGAGAUGUUGGGUUAAGUCCCGCAACGAGCGCAACCCUUACAUUUAGUUGCCAGCACGCAAAGGUGGGAACUCUAAAUGGACAGCCGGGGUAACCCGGAGGAAGGUGGGGACGACGUCAAAUCAUCAUGCUCCUUAUGUCCUGGGCUACAAACGUGCUACAAUGGCCACAACAAAGGGAAGCAAGACCGCAAGGUGGAGCGAAACCGAGAAAAGUGGUCCCAGUUCGGAUUGAGGGCUGCAACCCGCCCUCAUGAAGUUGGAGUUGCUAGUAAUCGCGAGUCAGCAUAUCGCGGUGAAUACGUUCCCGGGGUUUGUACACACCGCCCGUCACACCAUGGGAGUUGAGAGCACCCGAAGCCGGUGAGGUAACCGCAAGGAGCCAGCCGUCUAAGGUGAGAUCAGCGACUGGGGUG
rnacentral:rRNA from 1 species